UACGUAGGGCGCAAGCGUUAUCCGGAAUUAUUGGGCGUAAAGGGCGCGUAGGCGGCUCGAUAAGUCAAAGGUGAAAUCCCUCGGCUCAACUGAGGAACUGCCUUUGAAACUGUCGAGCUUGAAGUCCGGGAGGGGGUAGCGGAAUUCCCAGUGUAGCGGUGAAAUGCGCAGAUAUCAGGAGGAACACCGGUGGCGAAGGCGGAUCUCUGGGCCAUUACUGACGCUGAGGAGCGAAAGCGUGGGGAGCGAACAGG
rnacentral:rRNA from 1 species